CACCGCGGUUAGACGAGAGGCCCUAGUUGAUAUUACAACGGCGUAAAGGGUGGUUAGGGACAAACAAGUUUUAUUUUAAAGCCAAAUGGCCCCUUGGCCGUUAUACGCUUCUGGGCGUCCGAGACCCUAUAUACGAAAGUAGCUUUAACAAACCCACCUGACCCCACGAAAGCUGAGAAA
rnacentral:rRNA from 1 species